rnacentral:tRNA from 1 species
GGAGAGAUGCCAGAGCGGUUGAAUGGGACGGUCUCGAAAACCGUUGUGCGGGCAACUGUACCGUGAGUUCGAAUCUCACUCUCUCCG